rnacentral:rRNA from 1 species
GACGAACGCUGGCGGCGUGCUUAACACAUGCAAGUCGAGCGGAAAGGCCCUUCGGGGUACUCGAGCGGCGAACGGGUGAGUAACACGUGAGUAACCUGCCCCAGACUUUGGGAUAACCCUCGGAAACGGGGGCUAAUACCGGAUACGACACAGCUUCGCAUGGGGUCUGUGUGGAAAGUUGUUCGGUUUGGGAUGGGCUCGCGGCCUAUCAGCUUGUUGGUGGGGUGAUGGCCUACCAAGGCGACGACGGGUAGCCGGCCUGAGAGGGCGACCGGCCACACUGGGACUGAGACACGGCCCAGACUCCUACGGGAGGCAGCAGUGGGGAAUAUUGCACAAUGGGCGGAAGCCUGAUGCAGCGACGCCGCGUGAGGGAUGACGGCCUUCGGGUUGUAAACCUCUUUCAGCAGGGACGAAGCGUAAGUGACGGUACCUGCAGAAGAAGCGCCGGCCAACUACGUG